GGGGAAGCCGGUGCAAUUCCGGCGCUGACCCGCAACCGUGUACCGCCCGCAGGGCGGUGAGCCGGAUCGCCC
rnacentral:ncRNA from 1 species